AUGAGCCCUGAAGAAUUUCAGUUCACAGUCCGCAGGCAUGUCAGCGAAUGGAUGGAGUUCCUAACACCACCGAACUCUCCCCAUCCUAGCCCUCAGAGCACCUGGAAGGCGCCUCCACUGGAAAUGGUGAAAAUUAACGUUGAUGGUGCAUUUUCAGCAGAGACAGGAAAAGGUGGUUGGGGCCUUAUAUGCAGAGACUCUUCUGCGGAAAUUCAGCUUGCAGCGGCUGGCAUGGGGCAGAAUUAUUUGAGUGCCCUUCAUGCGGAAACAGACGCCCUUCGUCACGCUGUAGCCCUCUCAGAUCAGUUAGAAGUGGGCAGAGUCAUUUUUGAAACUGACAGCCUCUCCCUUGCAAAUGCAAUGACCUCCACCGAGUUUGACUAUGCACUUUUGGGCAACCUGUUCAGAGAACUAAAGCUGAAGCUGAUCACUGAUUUCAUCCAAGCAAGUGUAGUACAUGUUAUCCGUGACUGUAACAAGCUAGCUCAUCUGCUGGCGGUGUUGGGUACAGGGUUAGUUAACGGCGGAGACUACCAAUGGUUUGAUAGUUACCCUGAUGAUGUAACCCUGCUGUAA
rnacentral:rRNA from 1 species